rnacentral:rRNA from 1 species
GAUCCUGGCUUAGAACGAACGCUGGCGGCAGGCUUAACACAUGCAAGUCGAGCGCCCGCAAGGGGAGCGGCAGACGGGUGAGUAACGCGUGGGAAUCUACCCAUCUCUACGGAAUAACUCAGGGAAACUUGUGCUAAUAUCGUAUACGCCCUUUGGGGGAAAGAUUUAUCGGAGAUGGAUGAGCCCGCGUUGGAUUAGCUAGUUGGUGGGGUAAUGGCCUACCAAGGCGACGAUCCAUAGCUGGUCUGAGAGGAUGAUCAGCCACACUGGGACUGAGACACGGCCCAGACUCCUACGGGAGGCAGCAGUGGGGAAUAUUGGACAAUGGGCGCAAGCCUGAAUCCAGCCAUGCCGCGUGAGUGAUGAAGGCCCUAGGGUUGUAAAGCUCUUUCACCGGUGAAGAUAAUGACGGUAACCGGAGAAGAAGCCCCGGCUAACUUCGUGCCAGCAGCAGC